CCUACGUGAGGCAGCAGUAGGGAAUAUUGCUCAAUGGGGGAAACCCUGAAGCAGCAACGCCGCGUGGAGGAUGAAGGUUUUAGGAUUGUAAACUCCUUUUGUUAGAGAAGAUUAUGACGGUAUCUAACGAAUAAGCACCGGCUACCUCCGGGCCAGAAGCCGCGGUAAUACGGAGGGUGCAAGCGUUCCUCGGAAUCACGUGGCGUAACGAGGGCGUAGGCGGGGGAAUAAGUCAGCUGUGAAAUCCUGUAGCUUAACUACAGAACUGGCUUUGAAACGGUUACUCGGGACUGUGGGAGUGUUAGGUGGCAUUCUUGGUGUAGGGGUAGAAUCCGUACAGAUCAAGAGGAAUACUCAUUGCGAAGGCGACCUGCUGGACCCUUACUGACGCUGCUGCACGACCGCGUGGGGAGCAAACAGGAUUAGAUACCCUUGUAGUC
rnacentral:rRNA from 1 species